CUGAACUUUGGGCUUACACUUUAGUAUUGAUAAAGAAUUUCGAUUUUGAAAAUCACUACAAGCAAUCAAAAUACAUAUAGCAAACCAAAUCAUCCUACCCCUGCACCCAUUCUAUUCGUACAAAGUGAGUUAUGCGCCAAAACAGAGAGAGUUGAAAAUUAUAGAAUAACAGGAAUUGAUGUAUAUAAAGAAACCGUCCUAACACUGAAGUAGGUAAACCAACUAGGAGAAAUCGAUCAUCAUCUGGUCGUCAUCAGUGUAUCCUCUGUUGCGGUCCCGUUGAGCGUGUGGUCAUUAUCGCUCCCAAGUUCACCUUGCGGCCUUGCCCCAUGCGUCACCAUGGCUGAAUCCGAGCAGAAGACUUACCACUUGUGUGCCUUCUUUUCGAGCACUGUGGGGUGGCAACUGGCUAGGAUGGGAUUCAUGCGAAGUACUGCCGCAUUGGUGGAAGGGGGAGAGGGGCUAGAGGAGACUGCAGUUGGUCGACAUCGAGGACCGCCUUGUACACGGUGCCCUGCCCUCCUUCCCUGAUGAUGUUCGCCUUGUCGAACCCGUUUGUUGCCGCCUCGAUCUCUCCUCUGGCGUAGACAGUGAACCCAAUGAACAGCAACAGCAGGAUGGAAGUAAUCUACCGCGGC
rnacentral:lncRNA from 1 species